rfam:Stackebrandtia nassauensis DSM 44728, complete genome.
AGGCUUCCGUACCGCCUGGUCCCCACCCGCCCACCGCGUACCUGACAUUCCUUCCCCGGUGCCAGGUAUGUGAUGGGGCGGUUGGGGUCCAGGCGAUACGGGCCAACGAGA